CACGUAGGGUGCGAGCGUUGUCCGGAAUUAUUGGGCGUAAAGAGCUCGUAGGCGGUGUGUCGCGUCGGCCGUGAAAACCUGCAGCUUAACUGUGGGCUUGCGGUCGAUACGGGCAUCACUGGAGUUCGGCAGGGGAGACUGGAAUUCCUGGUGUAGCGGUGAAAUGCGCAGAUAUCAGGAGGAACACCGGUGGCGAAGGCGGGUCUCUGGGCCGAUACUGACGCUGAGGAGCGAAAGCGUGGGGAGCGAUCCGG
rnacentral:rRNA from 1 species